rnacentral:tRNA from 1 species
GUCGGAGAAUGGCGAGUGGGUCUACCUCGCCGCGCACAAUGGAACCACCUUC